UCGGAUAUGGUGUAACGGCUAACAUUGCCGCCUUUCAUCAUACAAAUGAUCUGUAUGUACGCGGCAGCUCGGGGUUCGAUUCCCCGUAUCCGAA